UUGGGUGUUUAUAGCAGCAUGGUCCACCUCUUCCCAUCCCGAACAGAGAAGUUAAGCCUGCUUGCGCUGAUGGUACUGUCCUUUUGAGGAUGGGAGAGUAAGUCGACGCCGAUC
rnacentral:rRNA from 2 species